UGAGGAAUUUUGGACAAUGGGGGCAACCCUGAUCCAGCGACGCCGCGUGAAGGAUGAAGGUCUUCGGAUUGUAAACUUCUUUUAUUUGGGACUAAGAAAACUCUAGAAAUAGAGUGAGUGAAUGUACCAGGUGAAUAAGCCACGGCUAACUUCGUGCCAGCAGCCGCGGUAAUACGAAGGUGGCAAGCGUUACUCGGAAUUACUAGGCGUAAAGGGCAGGUAGGUGGUUUGGUUAGUCUGUUGUGAAAGCUCCCGGCUUAACUGGGAGAGGUCAACGGAUACUGCCAAACUUGAGUAUAGGAGAGGUUACUGGAAUUCCCGGUGUAGCGGUGAAAUGCGCAGAGAUCGGGAGGAACACCAAUGGCGAAAGCAGGUAACUGGACUAUUACUGACACUCAACUGCGAAAGCUAGGGGAGCAAACAGGAUUAGAUACCCGCGUAGUCC
rnacentral:rRNA from 1 species